rnacentral:rRNA from 1 species
GACGAACGCUGGCGGCGUGCUUAACACAUGCAAGUCGAACGGAAAGGCCCGGCUUUUGUGGGGUGCUCGAGUGGCGAACGGGGGAGUAACACGUGAGUAACCUGCCCUUGACUUUGGGAUAACUUCAGGAAACUGGGGCUAAUACCGGAGAGGAGCUCCUGCUGCACGGGGGGGGUUGGAAAGAUUCGGCGGUUGGGGAUGGACUCGCGGCUUAUCAGCUGGUUGGUGGGGUAGUGGCUUACCAAGGCUUUGACGGGUAGCCGGCCUGAGAGGGUGACCGGCCACCUUGGUACUGCGAUACGGACCAGUCUCCUACGGGCCGCAACAGUCGGGAAUAUUGCACAAUGGGCGGAAGCCUGAUGCGGCAACGCCCCGUGCGUGAUGCCGGCCUUCUGGUUGUAAACCGCUUUCGCCUGUGACGAAGCGUGAGUGACGGUAAUGGGUAAAGAAGCACCGGCUAACUACGUG